AAAAUGUAUUGUUAGGUGAGGCUCCUAUACAGAAAUAAGCUGCUGCCGCGAAAGGAUCGAGAGACCCUUAGUUGGUUGAACAGGAAUGAUCGUGAAGGUCAUUCAUAAUGUAGCUGAUGAUUUCUAUCUACGCUGUAUAGUGCUAAAGCUCAACGAUAGAAGACUAUUU
rnacentral:sRNA from 1 species